AGAAUCAACGCUGGCGGCGUGCCUAACACAUGCAAGUCGAACGAGAAAGUGGAGCAAUCCAUGAGCACAGUGGCGCACGGGUGAGUAACACGUGACUAACCUACCCUUGAGUGGGGGAUAACCUAGGGAAACCUGGGCUAAUACCGCAUAAUACCUUCGGGUCAAAGGAGCAAUUCGCUUUAGGAGGGGGUCGCGGCCGAUUAGUUAGUUGGCGGGGUAAUGGCCCACCAAGACUGUGAUCGGUAUCCGGCCUGAGAGGGCGCACGGACACACUGGAACUGAAACACGGUCCAGACUCCUACGGGAGGCAGCAGUGGGGAAUUUUGCGCAAUGGGGGAAACCCUGACGCAGCAACGCCGCGUGGAGGAUGAAGCCCCUUGGGGCGUAAACUCCUUUCGAUCGGGACGAUAAUGACGGUACCGAGAGAAGAAGCCCCGGCUAACUUCGCGCCAGCAGCCGC
rnacentral:rRNA from 1 species